AAAAAAUGGUCCUUUUGUCCCCCUUUACAUAAUCUAAUUAGGUGGCAGUAUAAAUAUAUUUUAUUUUUUAAAGCCCAGGAGUAAAAUUGAGGAGGCUUUAUAUGAAACUGCGUAAAAUAUUUAUCCUAGUAUCGUAAUCAGUAGGUCUGUUUUUAUAAGAACACCUCUUUUCUGAGGAUUCUACAUUUACUUAGAUGGCUAAUAAAAUAACUUCAAUGAUAUGAUUGACCAUUUUAAUAUAUUUUUUUAAACUUUAUUACCUACUCUAUGUACAAAAGAGUGUCCAGAGAGAACAAGUGUGCCUUUUGUGUGUGUGUGAGCAUCUGCCUGAGCUCUUCAUUUUCUGGUUUUCUUGUUCUUAUCAGAAUGUUUUCCAUAUUCUUUUUGUCUCCAUAUUCAAUAAGCAAUUUGAAACAAGUCCUCCAGAAAGUAAAUUAAAAUGAUUUUGGUGAAUAAUAUUAUUUGCCGAAUGCUUUUGUCAGGCCCCAUUGCCUGAAGAGUGCCCAUUUCAGUGAGUUCCAUGCUGUGUUGCACAGCAUCUUUUGUUUACUGGAAACAUAAACCUCCUUGUAACCCAGGUGGAGGGUCCAUUUAUGUGGGACAAGUACUUACUAGACAGCUAAACUGCGGAUCUCUGAUUGGUUUCUUAUGGGGAAUCAUAUAAAUUUUUGAAGUUACUUUAAGUGUUAUUUUAUUUCAUAUAUAUUUUAUUUUCCUGUCUUUACUGGUAUAUCUGCAAUCAAAAUAUCAGGAAGAACUAUAGUAAAAAAUAAUUGUAAAGGAAAAUGUGUUGUUUAGCUUGGUCAUGAGAUAUGGUUAGUUAGAUAAAACCUUAAUGACCAGUUCUUAAUUUAGGAGAUUUGGUUAUAAUUCCAAACAACAUUUGUUGAUUUUUCUAUGUAAUAGAAAAAAAAGGUUAGCUUUCAGGCAUUCUGCUUUACCACAGCUGUAUUGAUAGCCCUCUGCCCUAACUUUAUUGAAUAGAAACAGUGAUUUUUUUUUCUAUUUCCAUCAUAAAUUAUCUUAGUGUAUUUUUAAAAAUUAGCUGACAGUAAAACUGAUUUAUGCAACAAUUACUGAACCCCCACCCUUUUUUUUUCAUAAAACUAAAUAUUUUAUCAGAUUUCAGAGAAAUAACAAGAACCAAAUUCUUUAACUUUCAGUGUGUGCCUUCUUUUUAACAAUCCCUAACACUCCGUUUGGAAUUGAAGAGCCCUUUCUGGCUUGCGUUGGGCUGGGCAUGGUUAUUAACUCCUUAGAGGGUGGUAGAUGCACUUUUAGGCUCUUCUGCCUUUCCCUGGUCCUGAGAAUCACGGAGAGAGGGGAGGAGGGGUGGUGGGGGAAAGAGUGAAGGGGAGAGGGAGACAGGGAGACAAAGCCUGAGAGGGAGACGAUGACAUUAGAGGUGACACCUAGCUAUCAUGAGCCUCCUAAGACUGAGGGGAAGAAUAAUGAAGGGUUUCCCUGCCUUCUACAGCCCGAGGACAACCCUAUGGCCACAGCACCCUUUCUAAUCCCAUUUUCUGUGUGCUGCAUGUCAUAAUCUGUAAGGCACUGGUUCCAAGGGAAAACACUGAAUCCAAACAGUGACUGGGUCUUGUAUUUAUUUGCACUUUAAAACUACAAUGUGCAGGAAAACUUAGUAAAAAAAAAAAAAAAGAAAAGAAAAGAGGGACAGCAACAACACAGCACCACAAGUUUGUUGGCAUUGAAAGGGAAUCACUGGGCCCAGAGAGCCUUACAUUUCAGUGCUCUGAUUUACAGUGGCAUUUUACCAAUUAGAGAAAAGUGUGCAGUCUCUUUAAACAACUUUUCAUAAAAAUCUUCCCUGUUGGGAAUAUCUUUGUUUCAUGCAGUGUCAGUCCCUGUGAAAGUAGUUGUCCUAGAGUCUGGCUGACCCUAGGUCCCCCAGUGUCUGCAGGACCUUGGAAGGCUGUAGUAAAGUGACUCUCAGUGGGAAUGGGCCAGACAGUUUUCCUAGAGGCAAGGACCUGGGAGAUAGCAUGUGGAAAACAGCAGAGUUAUAUUCUGCAUGUUAUUUCGUAAGUGAAGAUAACAGGUAAAAAUCAGUACAAAGAAUCUGUGUAUGGAGCCCCUUGCCAUAGUCCCUUUCCAGCCUUCCUCAACCUGCCUGGUGAGUAGAAGUCAUUGGAUUAAAUUAUUUCAUCAUUUUGCAAGGAGGGAGUUAGUUGAUGGUUUGAAAGUGUGGACAAGGCCAGGCGCGGUGGCUCAGGCCUGUAAUCCCAGCACUUUGGGAGGCCGAGGCGGGUGGAUCACGAGGUCAAGAGAUUGAGGCUAUCCCAGUCAACAUAGCGAAACCCCGUCUCUACUAAAAAUACAAAAAAUUAGCUGGACAUGGUGGCACGUGCCUGUAAUCCCAGCUACUCAGGAGGCUGAGGCAGGAGAAUUGCCUGAACCCGGAAGGCAGAGGUUGCGGUAAGCCGAGAUCGCCCCAUUGCACUCCAGCCUGGGUAACAAGAGCGAAACUCUGUCUC